rnacentral:tRNA from 1 species
AGAGGUAUCGUUUAACGGUAAAACAGAGGGCUCCAAACCCUCCGAUGCGGGUUCGAUUCCCGCGACCUCUGCCA